UGCGACCCAAAAAACUCCCCUGAAUCCUACAAACAACCCCCCAAAAGCAGUUUUGCUUAUGGGUAAGGCCAUCUAAGUCAUUGGCGGUAAUUGUGAUUCAGUACAAAUAAUGUUGGAAUUGAGGCUGAAUUUUAAUUCCAUCUACUACACUUACUAGCUACGUGAUUUUAUGAGUUUCACUUCACUUCUCUGAAGCUAAGUUUCCUUAUCUGUAAGAUAUAUAUAAUAUAGCAUAGCUCACAAGGAUUCUCUGAAUUCAAUUUUUUUAAAAAGCCUGUGUGACAUUGCCUGACACAUGCUAGAGGCUCAACAAAUGCUUAUUAAAUCUCAACCAAAAUAUUUUCCAGUUACCCGUGUGAGGCUAGCAUUAAAAUAAAGCUGGUGGGAUAAAAAAAGAAUUUUUCAAAUGAGAUAUGUCGGCUUUUAGGUUGAUUAAGGCUCAGUGGACAGGAUAUUUAUCGUCAACUAAAUGUAUCCCCCUCUACCAAAGCAAUGCAAAUACAUUCCCAGCAAAUGUCUUCAGGGAAAGGGCAUAAUUUCAUCUUUACCUAUUUUUAUAUUUCUUUACAGUUGCCAUGAGAGCAUUUUAAUAACCUCCAUGGAGUUGAAAGUGAUGCAGGUAAUUGCCAUAAGUAAUUUAAGGGCUAUUAAAGCUAACAAACCUCUCCUGUGAAAUACCUUGUUAAGCGGUGAUCAGCAGAAAACAUGUAAGAAUCGGGUGCAGUGUAAAUUCAAGCCCUUUCUCCAGUUAAGCUGAAGUGAAAAUGUAAUUACAUUACACAUAAGAGGGGUGCAGAUAUUAAAGCUCUUCCUGCUCCAGGCUGGGGUUGGCUCCAGCUAAGAUGCCCUGCUAUUCUAAUGAGAUCCACUUCCUUCAGAAGAGAGGGUGUCAUCUCUGCUGUCACUCCCCAUCGCCUGAACUGGCAGCUAAUUUUCCAUGCACACACAUCUUAAGAUUAUAAAUCUGAGCGUUUCUUGGUGCGGAGUCCUCAGGGAUCUGGUUCCAGCCUUGGAUUUGGCCAAUCACUCACUGUGUGACCUUGAGCAAUUCUUUUUACCUCCCCAGGCAGGAACUACUGCAACUAUGAAAUGAAAAGAUUUUAUGGUGUGCCCACAGAGAUAUCUUCUGGCUCUAAAACUCUUCACUCCUAAACAAUUUCUGUACUCAGAAGCCCCUUUUCUGCCUAUUUCAACGAUUGGAAAUAUAACCAGAAAUCAAAAGUAGGCAGACAGAGAGAGAGAGAAAGAGAGAAAGAAAGAAAGAAAGAAAGAGAAAGAAAGAAAGAAAGAAAGAAAGAAAGAGAAAUUAAUGAAGAAGGAGGGAGGAAGGAAGGGAGGGAGGAAAGAAGGAGGGAAGGAAAAACACCCACAAGUUGAUAUUACAAAGUUCAUAUAUUUUAUACCUCCCAGAAACUUAUAGGCUCAUGCAGAGAAUCAAUUUAUUCUUCCUUCAUAUAGUGGCCCAGUGCUUGAUUGCCUUACAGGCUUACAACACAUUAGAAGGGACAAGGUAGAAGAAAUAGGCAAGAACAUUGACAAUAAUAAGUGAAAUCCCAAAGAAGAGAACAGAAAACUUCAAGCAGGCAAGACUUUAUCUGGCUGAUUCUAUAUACCUCACAUCAAGCACAUAGUGUAUGCUCGAAAAUGCUGAAUGGAUGAAUGAAUGAAGCAAUGCUUCCACAGAGCAGAUACAAUUUUUUUUUCAGCACAAUGGUCAGGGAACACUUAGUACAGGUACAAAUGACCAUACACACCUGAAGAGCCUCCUCAAGACUGCUUCACACACUGCGAUUAAUAUCCAUGUGUGUAAGAGCUCCCAUUGUGGCUCACCAGGUUAAGAACCCAGCUAGUACCUAUAAGGACUCAAGUUCAAUCCCUGGCCUUGCUCAGUGGGUUAAUGAUCCAGCGUUGCCGUGAGCCAUGGUGUAAGCUGAAGAUGCAGGUCAGAUUCUGCAUUGCUGUGGCUGGGGCAUAGGCCAGCAGCUGCAGCUCCUCUUCGACCCCUAGCCUGGGAACUUCCAUAUGCCAUAGGUGCAGUCCUAAAAAGACAAAAAAAAAAUUUUACAUUAAUAAUAUCCACCUCUCAAUAAGAUGGCCAAUGAUCACCUCUGGUUAAAUGUGGUAGAUGGAACACAUGUAUUUCUCUCUGCUCCCUUCUAAUAUUACUUAAAAUGAGAGUCAAGUGAUGUAUGUGUCUGUGAACUCGCAAGGAAAGAGGGAAAAGGAUCCACAGUGGGAAACAGAUGUCAGCCAAUAUUGGCAGGCUAGAGAGCAUCAGAUGAAAUGAUCAGAGCUGAUAAAGCAGAAGAGCAAGGGCCUGCAGAAGGGAACCAAGAAGCCAGCCAGGUCAGGCCUCAGAUCCCUGGAAAGACUCCAGAAAUCAGAGGCACUUGAACAAGGAGCAUGAAGAGGCGGGCUGCAAACAGAAGGAUUCGUUUAAAGUCUGUUAAGAUAAUAGUUAAAUUCUCAGAUUCCUUCUCCCACUUUGGCAGGAAACUAGAGGCUUACUUCACAAAGAAAAAAUUCGGAGAUGACCCUGCCCCAGGAUCAAAGCCUAUGGUAAACAGAAGCACACAUCAAAAAACAGGGGCAUGAAUGAAAGUCUACAUAACAGAAGAGUGAGGCCCCCACACCGCUGUCUCUCUAAGAACACUGGAAGCCUGAGGAUAUACCCCUCCCAACACCAUCAACCCAGCCAGGAAACUGGAGGAUUCUUAUCUGGGGAAACAGAAUACAGCCAGAGAAAAAGAGCUCUAAAUACUGAUGCUCAGUUUUUACAGAUAUUAAGUGGUAUAGACUGGGAAACUAUACUCUCAUGCAGGAUUUUCCCAUGAACAGCUGGAUCCCAAGCCACAUCCUAUUUGACAAGCCAUGCCUCUCCCUCAUAAAAAGCAACUAAUUUCUCCCAAUAUAAUAUUCUUAAACACAACU
rnacentral:lncRNA from 1 species